GUGAAUCAAAGGUGGUUGUAGAAUAAACUCCUUGCAAGGAGUUUCUACCAUCUUUUGAUAUUUAUUCUAAUACUACCCUGAAAAAUUUUGGAUCAAACUCAAUGACUGCAUUCUUUCCCCUUUUCCCAGAACUCUAAAUAAUAUUAGUUACGAGUUUAAAACCAAAUGUAUAAUCCUGCUUCCUCACUGCUUUUACAGGAGAUGGCUUUGCUGCACGGGAGGAGAGUUUAUAUCCAGUUCCUUUGCAAACAAAACACCUUUUCUUGAGUCUUUAGACGCCGUUUCCUUUUGAACAUUCAAAGCAUGAAUGUGGCAACAAUUGUGGUACUAUACGUGAAUGGAUCAUAUACAAAUAGAAGUAAGAGGAAAGAAAACUGAGACUGGGUCAGAUGUGAUCACACCCAAUUAGCUCUUUGUUUCUGAAAAUUGUGUAUUACAUGGCAGAUUCCAUGCUGACUAGAAAGCACAAGUUACAUUGGUUGCCUUGCUAAAUUCUGGAUCCCAGCACCUGCAGAGUUGCUACAAGAGUUGAGCCUUAUCUUCACAUCAGCCACUGUACACCUGCAGAAGCAUCGUGCAUCAAUACCAUGGCAAGUGUUCUAAGAAGAGAAGUUACCACCCACUGAAGGUUUUCAGGAACAGCUGUCUCCAUGCAUGUUCUCAAACUGCUUUCUCUCCUUGCAGUCCAGAAGAAAUUAAGGUACAUACAGCCUACAAUUAGUCCAGAAAGGAAGCAGAGCACAUGAGCAUGAUGCAGACAGAGCAAAACGUCCUGUGGAGAGAAGUGCCACCCUUCAACCAUAACGACAAUAUAAAGUCUAGGUUUUGUA